UCUUAGAUGAGUGUCCCGCGGGGCCCGAAGCGUUUACUUUGAAAAAAUUAGAGUGUUCAAAGCAGGCCCCGAGCCCGCCUGGAUACCGCAGCUAGGA
rnacentral:miRNA from 1 species